rnacentral:lncRNA from 1 species
UAUACAUUGAAAAGAAAACAAGCAGGUUAUAAUACCAACUUAGAAUUAAGUGCUAGUGUCAAGUUUUAUACCAAGAUUAUGAGAUGACAACAGAACGAAAUCGGGUACAACACUUGGCGCAGCGGUAAGUUUCGACCUGAGGUGAACUGUAAACUCGGGCAUCCUGGGGUCGAUUGGUCCGUGUGGCCAAGGAUCGACAUUUCUUAGCGGAGCCAUGUCUUAGGCCGAG